UACAGAGGUCCCAAGCGUUGUUCGGAUUCACUGGGCGUAAAGGGUGCGUAGGUGGUCAGGUAAGUCGGAUGUGAAAUCUCCGAGCUCAACUCGGAAACUGCAUUGGAAACUACCUGGCUCGAGGGUUGGAGGGGGGACUGGAAUGCUUGGUGUAGCAGUGAAAUGCGUAGAUAUCAAGCGGAACACCAGUGGCGAAGGCGAGUCCCUGGACAACUCCUGACACUGAUGCACGAAAGCUAGGGGAGCAAACAGG
rnacentral:rRNA from 2 species